UACGGGGGGUGCGAGCGUUGUCCGGAAUCACUGGGCGUAAAGGGCGCGUAGGUGGCUUUGUAAGUUUGCGGUGAAAGCCCGGGGCUCAACCCCGGGUCUGCCGUGGAUACUGCAAGGCUUGAGUACUGUAGAGGCAGGUAGAAUAUCGGGUGUAGCGGUGGAAUGCGUAGAGAUCCGAUAGAAGACCGGUGGCGAAGGCGGCCUGCUGGGCAGUAACUGACACUGAGGCGCGACAGCGUGGGGAGCAAACAGGG
rnacentral:rRNA from 1 species